GACGAACGCUGGCGGCGUGCCUAAUACAUGCAAGUCGAACGCUGAAGGAGGAGCUUGCUUCUCCGGAUGAGUUGCGAACGGGUGAGUAACGCGUAGGUAACCUGCCUGGUAGCGGGGGAUAACUAUUGGAAACGAUAGCUAAUACCGCAUAACAGUAGAUGUUGCAUGACAUUUGCUUAAAAGGUGCAAUUGCAUCACUACCAGAUGGACCUGCGUUGUAUUAGCUAGUUGGUGAGGUAACGGCUCACCAAGGCGACGAUACAUAGCCGACCUGAGAGGGUGAUCGGCCACACUGGGACUGAGACACGGCCCAGACUCCUACGGGAGGCAGCAGUAGGGAAUCUUCGGCAAUGGACGGAAGUCUGACCGAGCAACGCCGCGUGAGUGAAGAAGGGUUUCGGAUCGUAAAGCUCUGUUGUAAGAGAAGAACGAGUGUGAGAGUGGAAAGUUCACACUGUGACGGUAGCUUACCAGAAAGGGACGGCUAACUACGUG
rnacentral:rRNA from 1 species